GUUUGUGGCACAAAAUAUGCUGUACUCUUAGCAAGAGCCAAAGGGCCUGAGCUUGUAAACUGCUAAGAAAGCUCCAUUUUCUUACUAAGAGGAUCAUUUCUUUGGCUGGAGCCCAGCAAAAAGCUCCCUGGAUCAUAGUGCUGACUACGAAUGAGCCUCAGGUGUGUCUACAUCUCACAGACAAGGAGAGUUACAGAUGCCCUUCGAGCAGCUUGCAGUGCUGUGACUUCAGAGAAUUUGUUUGUGGCUAUUUGGAGAUGGACAUUCACAGUGAAUACGCUGGGGCCAUAUGCUAGGUCAGUGUUUCCCAGAAUGGCUCCAUUAUGAAACUAUAUUUUAGUGAUGUUUUUCCUUAUCUCUCAGAACAAUUCAUUUGCUAGGGCCCUAAGUGCAUGGUAGAGGUCAACACCUAUUGAAACACUG
rnacentral:lncRNA from 12 species